UGCUUAGAUUGGGAACCUGUGUUUUCCCUUUCCCUCUUUCUGGUAAACUCAUCUCCUCUCCUAUGGCUUAGGUAGCUCAACUGAUCCUUUGUUCCUACUUUUCUUUUUCUCAGAUUACUUCAUUUUGUUUCCUUCUCUCUCCCAUAGCGUUACUUUUACCUGGAUUUGGCACCUCUCCACGACACCUCUUCAUCUUUCUCUUCUUAGCUUCAGUAUUCCCUUCGCCUUCUCUGUUGUGCCUGAGUGGUAUUAAUUCAAUGCCCUGCUUAAUGCUUCUUAGGGGAGAGAAUGAAGUACAGAAGGGAAUAAAACCUGAGAAAUUGAGACAGUAACAAUAGUCCAAGGCUGGCUAUUGAUCCUUCUUCGUGCAAGGUGCUUAGAAUUAUGCAUCAGGGAGUCAUUCCUUAUUUGUCUAAUACUGUCAUGUUAUGUGACUUUUUGACCAAGUCUAUGACAUUGGUGGAGUAGUCAUAAUUAUACCCCAUCUAAAUCACAAGGUCUAACCGUUUAAAGAGCUUGAUGAUCAACAUUUUCCAAGUAGUCAUCUUCAUCUAUCACAAGGAAUUAAUAAACCAAUGACUCAAUUCUAACAUGACAACAAGAGGUGAUGUCGCAGAGUUCUCACUAUGUUAUCUUCUUCCUAAUGUUAAUGUCCGUCAUUAUGCAGAGAAAUGAUCCAUCAUGCUUGCGUGAAUUCGUUUUGUCAAAUUUGUGUAAGAAGUCCCCUUGUAUAAGUAUCGGACUCCAGGUUCUUGCUUCUUGUGGAGUAGACGACUUUGUAUGUGGUAGGGCCUUUGAGAUGUCUAAAUGAACAGAAUUUUGCGGUUGCAGCAUGUUUUUCUGUUUAACCACAAAGAUUCAGGCCCUACCAUUGAGGAAACAUCUUGCUACGGUGGGAAAGCAAGUCUAGACUCCAUUGUAGAGUCAUGGAACAGGCCACAAACCAACAACUUCCAGAAAGAUGGUUACGACGGAUCCCUAGAAGAUUUUCAGCAGUGGGUGACAGAAAUUUCGUUUGCUGAAAGGGUUUCUUGGGCGGUGGGAUGGUUGUUUCUUACUGCUGGACUCUUUUUUAUGAGAAAAGGAGAAAGGGAUUAUGUUGUAAAUCUCGAGGGAGGUAACUUGUAUGAGUGGAUGAUGCUAGACUUGGGAAGUGGAGCGCGAAGAUCGAAGAGAGAUAGUGAUCUUUAGUAACCUCCCCCUGAAUUGAAUGACCAGGGUGAACAUUUUCCUUACACCUACCCCAACAAAACGAGGCGAGGAGGUGGUGGUAGAGGGAGAGGAGCGAUACUACAAAUGUUGUAGCUAAAGCAGCAAUAAGAGCUAGGAAAAUGGUGGUGUUGGUCGAGGUCGGCGUGUUAGAGUGAAAGAUUUAGACCCUGAUGUUCUGGGGAAGGCCUUCCUGAAGUUCCGCUUAUAAGAAGUUGAUGGUGCCACUCACAAUCAGGUGGAGGGUUCCAGUAGUAAAGAAUAUUGGAAUGGAGUGAGGAAGCAGAGAUAAGCUGGUGGCUUCUGAAGGGGAAUCUAACCUAACAUCUCUUCCUGAAAUGUCGUGUUAGAAGCAGAUUUUCUCCCUGGUUUCUUACUGCCCACUCGUCAAUCACGAGAUCGUCAGCCUUGUGUUUGAUCACUUUCAUGGUCACCUGUUGGAUUCUCACCUUAAAACAGGGCACAUGAAGGAGUACUGCCAAGUGCCAACCAUAUUGUGAGGUCCUACCUGAAUGGAUAGAGGUAUGCAACUAAUCACUUCGAAUUUUGUAAGGGGUAUGUCCUUUGUAGGUUCCAAUCUGCAAAAGGAUUUAUGUCUCGAACAGGACUACCAGAUGUAUGCCAAUAUUUAUCUAGACACAACUCAUCUAGCAUUUCUGACUGAGGAUGUGAGUGACGUGAGAACCAUAAGAGGUCUCCAAGCGUCAUUUAUUAGCCUUGCAGAGUUGUAGCACCCUUCAUUGAUGAUAAUGUCCCUAAUGCUCGGGUACAUGUGUAUCCUCUUUCACCUCUUGUCCUGGGUUAUAGAAUGACAAAGGGCACAAAGAAGAAGAAGCUCGUACCUUGUCCCAUGGUUGCUGGAAAUUAAUAUAGUCAAUGUGUAUUUCUAUUAUUCCCAUGCACUGGAAACAAAAUUAUUAGAUAUCAUCCACUUUGUAAAGUUUCAAAUAUUGACUUUUCUCCUUUUACAAUCUUUCUAUACACAUGGUCUUGAAUUCUC